AGGACGAGAGCGCAUGUUCUCAGCGUGGCAGGUUUAUGUGACAGCAGGUAUCUCUCGUCCUCUGGGCAGGUGUGUGGGAGUAAGAGGGCGUCGCCCUCCAGAAGGAGGCCGCAGACCGGGUUCAAGAGGGCUGAGCUGGUUUUAUGUAAACCAGCAGACGACUGGUCCACGCCUGCCACAAACAAGAGCCUGAAAAUCCUCAGGUCAAUGUCCCAGCAUGCCAUGCACCGCUCACGCUCCCCAACGAUAACCCUGCCACCUGGCUUGAGUGUGAAAACAGAGGAGCCGUGGCUUGGCGGGCGCCGGGAAAAGGAUUCACGCGGACUUUUUUUCGAGAAGGGGCUUCAUUAUAGCCGAAGUAAUGAAAUUCCGGAAUUUUUUAAAGGGGAAGGCUGAGAGGCGCGCUGUCAAGGUGAGCCGUCAGGGUGCGGGAAGAGAUGGAAGAAGUCUCCUGUGAUCAGAGGCGCUGACAGUCAUCGGGGCCACUGCAACUCCAAACGCUCGUCACCUUUACACCGGGGAAGAAAUUACAGCGCCCGCACUGGCACCGCACCUGACAAAGCCAAGUCAAUUCCAGGACUAAACGCUGCCAUUCUCUACCCGCUGUGCAUAUCUUUACUACCAUCUGCCGUUACUGGGCCCUGUUAGGCCUCCCCCACUUCCUCCGAAUCACACGCUCUACCCCCUCAAAGGGAAGCUCUCUGGGCUUUUAUCAGUGGAGUCUACCCCUGAGAAUACACGCCAUGGCCCCCUGCGCCACAGCGUUGCCAGCGCCUGCAGACACUGCAGUGUAGUGACAGUGAUAACAAGAGACACAUUAAAUAAAGUGUGAAAUUCUUAGCA
ensembl:lncRNA